GUGUGUGUGUGUGUGUGUGUAAAUAACCAAUAUUUUGAAAUUUGAAACUGAUUUGGACAUAGUUACUGCAGAAUUUUAUGGGAUAUUAUAGAAGCUAACUGAAAUUGUACAUCAAAUUCAUAAACAGUAGUGAAGCCACAUGUAUUACUGCAUCAGAAUGUGGUCCUCACUGCACAAUACAAUGAAACUGACUCAAACUGUUUUUAAGUUAGAAAUUUUCCAGUCUGAAACAAAUGAGUCUGGCGAAUCCAUUGUCUCACAGGAAAACAAUGUUGAGCAUUUUAAUCUAUACCUCCCAUAACAAGAAUCAUUUGUUACAUUGUUCUACUCAUAAAUGGUAACUAUAAUGAGGACAAGUAGUUGCUCGAAACUUUGAACCCAUAAAACCUUUUUAUUUAUGAUAUGGCUUAAACUUAUAAAUUAUCAGUAAAUUUUGGAACAAUUAUGGAACUUUAAUUUGUAUGAACAAAAUUAAUUCAACCCAACUCAACUCAAUUAAGCUAUUAUCCCAAAAAUUUGGGGUCGG
rnacentral:misc_RNA from 1 species